GAGAAAGACAUAGUGGCUAUGACAUUGGCUUGAAACCAGUUUGAGGGGGUUCGAUUCCUUCCUUUCUUA
rnacentral:tRNA from 1 species